UAGGGAAUCUUCCGCAAUGGACGCAAGUCUGACGGAGCAACGCCGCGUUAGUUAAGAAGGAUUUCGGUUCGUAAAACUCUGUUGUUAGAGAAGAACAGCGCAUAGAGUAACUGUUAUGCGUGUGACGGUAUCUAACCAGAAAGCCACGGCUAACUACGUGCCAGCAGCCGCGGUAAUACGUAGGUCCCGAGCGUUGUCCGGAUUUAUUUGGCGUAAAGCUAGCGCAGGCGGUUAGAAAAGUCUGAAGUGAAAGGCAGUGGCUCAACAAUUGUAGGCUUUGGAAACUGUUUAACUUGAGUGCAGAAGGGGAGAGUGGAAUUCCAUGUGUAGCGGUGAAAUGCGUAGAUAUAUGGAGGAACACCGAUGGCGAAAGCGGCUCUCUGGUCUGUAACUGACGCUGAGGCUCGAAAGCGUGGGGAGCGAACAGG
rnacentral:rRNA from 1 species